UCCGGUGAACAUAUCUGGAAGGUCACACCCGUUCCCAUCCCGAACACGGUAGUUAAGCUUCCAGAGCCGAUGGUAGUGCCAAAAGCGCGAGAGUAGGUAUCGCCGGAU
rnacentral:rRNA from 1 species